CCGGCUAAAAGUCGGAGGAAGGUGGGGGAUGACGUCAAAUCAUCAUGCCCUUAUGACCUGGGCUACACACGUGCUACAAUGGGCGGUACAAAGGGUCGCGAACCCGCAGGGGGAGCCAAUCCCAAAAAGCCGCUCUCAGUUCGGAUUGCAGGCUGCAACUCGCCUGCAUGAAGCCGGAAUCGCUAGUAAUCGCGGAUCAGCAUGCCGCGGUGAAUACGUUCCCGGGCCUU
rnacentral:rRNA from 1 species